rnacentral:rRNA from 1 species
GACGAACGCUGGCGGCGUGCUUAACACAUGCAAGUCGAACGAUGAACCCGGAGCUUGCUCCGGCGGAUUAGUGGCGAACGGGUGAGUAACACGUGAGUAACCUGCCCUUGACUCUGGGAUAACUGCGGGAAACUGUAGCUAAUACCGGAUACGACCCUCGGCGGCAUCGCCAGGGGGUGGAAAGAAUUUCGGGCAAGGAUGGACUCGCGGCCUAUCAGCUAGUUGGUGAGGUAACGGCUCACCAAGGCGACGACGGGUAGCCGGCCUGCGAGGGUGACCGGCCACACUGGGACUGAGACACGGCCCAGACUCCUACGGGAGGCAGCAGUGGGGAAUAUUGCACAAUGGGCGCAAGCCUGAUGCAGCAACGCCGCGUGAGGGAUGACGGCCUUCGGGUUGUAAACCUCUUUUAGUAGGGAAGAAGCGAAAGUGACGGUACCUGCAGAAAAAGCACCGGCUAACUACGUGCCAGCCGCCGCGGUAA